rfam:Pelodiscus sinensis unplaced genomic scaffold scaffold300, whole genome shotgun sequence.
UAGCUCAGUGGUUUGAGCAUUGGCCUGCUAAACCAAGGGUUGUGAGUUCAAUCCUUAC